rnacentral:lncRNA from 1 species
AGGUACAGCCUGUGUGUGCACAGCUGGAAUAGCACAGCCCGGGAGGUACAGCCUGUGGAUGUCACACACACACACACACACACACACACACACACACAGCCUGCCAACAGCCUGGCAGCACACAGCCCGCCCUGCCCAGCGCUGGUGACACCGCGGGGGUGUCCGUGUCACUGUGUGUGUGUGUCACUCCGUGUUUGUGGGUCCUUUCCUCGGUGCGUGUGUCACUCCCUCUCUGUUUGUGCGAGUGUCACUGUGCGUGUGUCACUGUGUGUCCCUGUCUGUGCCAUUAUGCGGGUGUCAAUGUCUGUGUCACUCUCUGUGUGUCACUGUGUGUGUGUCACUCUGUGUGUGUCACUCUGUCUGUGUCGGUGUCUGUGUCACUGUCUGUGUCACUGUCUGUGUCACUCUGUCUGUGUUGGUGUCUGUGGCACUCUGUGUGUGGCACUCUGUGUGUGUCACUGUCUGUGUCACUCUGCAUGUGUCACUCUGUGUGUCCCUGUGCAUGUGUCACUCCGAGUGUGUCCCUGUGUGUGUCACUGCGUGUGUCACUCUGUGUGUCCCUGUGCGUGUGUCACUCCGAGUGUGUCCCUGUGUGUGUCGGUGCGUGUGUCACUCUGUGUGUGUCACUCUGUGUCGGUGUCUGUGGCACUGUCUGUGGCACUGUCUGUGGCACUCUGUGUGUGUCACUCUGUGUGUGUCACUGUCUGUGUCGGUGUCUGUGUCGGUGCGUGUGUCACUCUGUCUGUGUCCCUGUGCAGUGUCACUCCGAGUGUGUCCCUGUGCGUCGCUGCCGGCGCUGUCCGGGCAGGCACACAUCGCCGUGUCCGUGUCCAUACCCGUGUCCGUGUCCAUACCCGUGUCCGUGUCCGUGUGUCCGUGCCGUGUCCGUGUCCCUAUCCGUGUCCGUGUCUGUGCCCGUGUCCGUGUCCGUGUCCGUGUCCGUGCCCGUGUCCAUUCCCGUGUCCGUGUGCCCGUGUCCCGUGCCCGUGUCCCUAUCCGUGUC